ACGCGGCGCGCGCCCAGCACGGGGGACAGCGGAGGGAUCAUUACCGAGUUUACAACUCCCAAACCCAAUGUGAACGUUACCAAACUGUUGCCUCGGCGGGAUCUCUGCCCCGGGUGCGUCGCAGCCCCGGACCAAGGCGCCCGCCGGAGGACCAACCAAAACUCUUAUUGUAUACCCCCUCGCGGGUUUUUUUAUAAUCUGAGCCUUCUCGGCGCCUCUCGUAGGCGUUUCGAAAAUGAAUCAAAACUUUCAACAACGGAUCUCUUGGUUCUGGCAUCGAUGAAGAACGCAGCGAAAUGCGAUAAGUAAUGUGAAUUGCAGAAUUCAGUGAAUCAUCGAAUCUUUGAACGCACAUUGCGCCCGCCAGUAUUCUGGCGGGCAUGCCUGUCCGAGCGUCAUUUCAACCCUCGAACCCCUCCGGGGGGUCGGCGUUGGGGAUCGGCCCUGCCUUGGCGGUGGCCGUCUCCGAAAUACAGUGGCGGUCUCGCCGCAGCCUCUCCUGCGCAGUAGUUUGCACACUCGCAUCGGGAGCGCGGCGCGUCCACAGCCGUUAAACACCCAACUUCUGAAAUGUUGACCUCGGAUCAGGUAGGAAUACCCGCUGAACUUAAGCAUAUCAAUAAGCGGAGGAAAAGAAACCAACAGGGAUUGCCCNUUUAACCGGCGAC
rnacentral:sRNA from 1 species